GGAAUUAGCUUGCUAAUUUGCUGACGAGUGGCGCACGGGUGCGUAACGCGUAUACAAUCUACCUUUUGCUGAGGGAUAGCCCAGAGAAAUUUGGAUUGAUACCUCAUGGUAUUAUUGACAGGCAUCUGUUAAUAAUUAAAGGUUACGGCAAAAGAUGAGUAUGCGUCCCAUUAGCUAGUUGGCGAGGUAACGGCUCACCAAGGCAACGAUGGGUAGGGGUCCUGAGAGGGAGAUCCCCCACACUGGUACUGAGACACGGACCAGACUCCUACGGGAGGCAGCAGUGAGGAAUAUUGGACAAUGGGCGAGAGCCUGAUCCAGCCAUGCCGCGUGCAGGAAGACUGCCCUAUGGGUUGUAAACUGCUUUUAUACAGGAAGAAUAAGCCUUACGUGUAAGGUGAUGACGGUACUGUAAGAAUAAGGACCGGCUAACUCCGUGCCAGCAGCCGCGGUAAUACGGAGGGUCCGAGCGUUAUCCGGAAUUAUUGGGUUUAAAGGGUCCGUAGGCGGAUGAUUAAGUCAGGGGUGAAAGUUUGCAGCUCAACUGUAAAAUUGCCUUUGAUACUGGUUAUCUUGAGUUGUAUUGAAGUAGGCGGAAUAUGUAGUGUAGCGGUGAAAUGCAUAGAUAUUACAUAGAACACCAAUUGCGAAGGCAGCUUACUAAGUACUAACUGACGCUGAUGGACGAAAGCGUGGGUAGCGAACAGGAUUAGAUACCCUGGUAGUCCACGCCGUAAACGAUGGAUACUAGCUGUUCGGGGCCUUGAGCUCUGAGCGGCUAAGCGAAAGUGAUAAGUAUCCCACCUGGGGAGUACGUUCGCAAGAAUGAAACUCAAAGGAAUUGACGGGGGCCCGCACAAGCGGUGGAGCAUGUGGCUUAAUUCGAUGAUACGCGAGGAACCUUACCAGGGCUUAAAUGUAGUCUGACAGCUUUAGAGAUAGAGUUUUCUUCGGACAGAUUACAAGGUGCUGCAUGGUUGUCGUCAGCUCGUGCCGUGAGGUGUCAGGUUAAGUCCUAUAACGAGCGCAACCCCUGUCGUUAGUUGCCAGCAU
rnacentral:rRNA from 1 species